rnacentral:lncRNA from 1 species
UUUGAUCCGUGUAGGUGCGUCGGGUACGUAUUCUGCUGAGCGAGUAGGGUUACCUGUAAAAUUAGCGGAUGAAGCUGAAAAACCUGCAACGUAAAUAAAUCAUAUUUACCCUUUAAUUUACCUUGUGUAUUCAUUAUAAGCUAUUUCUGAGAAGAAUUAAGGUUGAAAAAUACCGUGGAGGGAUGGAUUUGGAUUUGCAGUCAAAGUAUCAAUCUCAUGACUUGUUUUUUUCUCCGGACCUGUAGAUCAGCUUACCAUGUCGUCACAGAUGUUGCAAUAUUGUGUUUUAUGGUUGAAGUCUGCUGGGGACCAAUGCUUGCCGCAUUCAGCGUUACACUUGAACAUAGUGAUGACAGGCUUGCUGCCUGCGAGGCUUUCGGUAUGCCGUUCAUGUUACAGCAGUUAUUUCCUCUUAAUACUCAAUACAAGUACUAAGUCCAAUCUCCUCAGAGAUUCCCAAUUACAACUCAACAAUUAGCCCAACUUUACAAAUGACUCAACUCCACACUUUAUACUACGAGACUACACUCCACUGAUCUGAUCGUAACGGCCAUAACAGAUUCUGUUAUAACUGCAUCUUCUUAUCUUGAUAAGCAGAUCACUCUUCUCACUGAUCUCAUUACUCCUUUUCCUCCUUUUAUUGUAAAUUCUCCAACUCCUAUCAGGGUAUGCAUACGCAAAGAGAUGCAUUUGUCAAUUCCAUGGCCAAGUUCACAAACCUCUAUUGCGCAGGAGAGAUAUGAAACAAAAGAAUGUUGAUGCUGUUAAAGUGAGUUUUUUCUUAUGGAAAUCGUUGUUCAUAAUCAAAGCAGUUGUUCUCUGUUUAAAGUUGCUAACAUCUUGCUUUCAAAGAAGACACACAAAGAUAAAACGUAUUUCUACGGCAUAUCCAAAAAUAAAAUUAAAAGAAAAAAAUAAUAAUAUGAGAGCAGAGGUCGAACUCGUUACCAAAAGUCUUGUUGUUAUAGAAGCCAAACCACUAAGCUAAUGUGACUUUACAAAGUCUCGGCGCCCCUUAUAUUAUAUAAAGCUGUGGCGCCUAAAGCAACUGCUUUAGGUGCUUUACCCCAGGGCCGGCACUGGUUACAGCUAAGAAGUCUAACUCAACAUUUAGUAUACUGAAGAAGUUGAAGGGUCAAGCAGAUGAUAUGGAGGUGCAAGUAAUUAGCAUCAGCAGUGCAGAGGUAUAUAUAACUAACUAAACCCUUUUUCUUUCUUUCUUGGCCAGUUAAGAAGACAAUACUGUGAUUUUCUCUGUUACUUUGAAAAAUUAGGCUUUGAAUCUGUUGAAAGCUUCACUGGUGACAUGCUCUGCUUUGAGCUCGGCUUUUAGGAGUUUGCUUGUGAAGGAAGAUAGAUCGAACCCUAUUUCAAAGAGACUAAAGAUAGAGACAUGAACAGUGGAGAGAGAGCUACUACUACUAUUAUUGAUUUUAAAUUAUGCAGAGAUUAAACUUCAUCUGCUUGCUACCACAUUGACUUGGUUUUUUCUAUUAUUAUUGCCUUUCCUUUUGAAAUUUUUGCAGCAAAAUUGCUAAUUUUCCACUUAUAGUAUAGUUUUCUACACAGCUUUAUCAGGAGAAUCAUGAAAUCUCUAUUUAGCACAUCUAAUUUCUUUUGAAAUAAACGAUGGCUAAAAGAAGUGAUAUUUUACGAGAUGUUGGCCAUGCAGUGAAGUGGAAGCUCAAAGGGUUGUCUUUAAGAGUGGCUCUUGGCCUCUUGGGGGUUUAAAUGACUUGUUAAUAUUUUUAUUCAGUGUUAAAACUUCUUCUUUACGAAGUGCAGUGUGAUUUAUUAGACAUGCCAGCCGUCGCACAACUGGAGAAGGAUCCUAACAGUGCACUAGUUUACCAGCUACUUAAGAUCUUUAUUACUCAGAGGCUGGACGCAUACAUGGAAUUCCAGAAUGCAAAUUCAGGAUUUCUGCAAACCUAUGGUAAGUUUCUUAUCAGUUUUAUUAUAUAUUCUUAGUGAGCUCUUGAGUUGCACAGCGUAAUAAUGCUUAGAUGGUGUUUGCAGGGCUUGUCGAGGAAGACUGUGUAGCGAAGAUGAGAUUGUUGUCACUGGUGGACUUGGCAUCAGAUGAAUCUGGCAAAAUACCAUAUGCCUCUAUCAAGAACAUUCUACAGGUAAAGCCUUUUUGCUUGAACAAGACAUAAAACGUUGAUAAACCUUUUUUCGUUGCUUCUCUGAACCAUAGAAUCUAUUUUGGUUGGGCACAGGUAAAUGACGAGGAGGUUGAGUUGUGGGUGGUUAAGGCAAUAUCUGCGAAACUGGUUGAUUGCAAGAUGGAUCAGAUGAACCAAUUUGUAAUCAUCAGGCAAGUUUUAUACGCUUAUCUUUCGGUUUAUAUAAAGUAGUCGAGAACAUUCUAAUAGUGCUUUCGCAUUUCAGUCGCUAUGUGGAGUGUGAAUUUGGACAAACGCAAUGGCAAUCUCUUAGAACAAAGCUUGCAGCUUGGCGGGUAAUUACAAGACUUAGCAAUUUUAGAACACAGCUACAUUGAGAAUGCUUGUGUAAUAAUAAUAGCAUACUGUCGUCAACCCUAGAUAUCGUCAACGAUGGCGAAUAUGCCGAUGGAUAUCGUCAACGAUGUAUUCCUCCGUCUCCCCGCUUCUACGCUGGUACGAUGUCGCGUCCUCUCGAAGCCUUGGUUCACUCUUAUAGACAAUUCUGACUUCCUAGCGUCGCAUCUCAAGCGCACGCUCGAAACCGAAGAGCACCUCAUGAUCCUGCUGCAAUCUCAUCGCCUUCUACGUACCGUGUACCUCGACGGACCGGAUAAACUCUCAGACGUCGACCAUCCUUUGCAAACCGGUAAUUUCACGAAGGUUUUCGGUUCGGUUAACGGUAUGAUCGGUUUAACGAACUCUCCCGUCGUCUUAGCGCUUUUUAAUCCGUCAACCCGGACAAUCCACCGGUUACCGAUUGAGCCUAUUGAUUUCUCGGAACGUUCCAUCACACUCGAGUAUGUGUUUUACGGAUUAGGUUAUGAUUCGAUGAGCGACGAUUACAAAGUUGUGAGGAUGGUUCAGUCUAAGCAUAAAGACUAUGAAGGUUAUCCUCUCCAAAUGAAAGGUUAUCCUGUCGAAACCAAAGUUUUCAGCUUAAAGAGUAAUUCGUGGAAGAGAAUCCAUCUUUGUUUUGAGGUUCAGAUUCCUUUCAUGUUCUUCUAUUACCAUGUGCUGUAUCGUCGUGGGAAUGGUGUUCUUGCUAGCAAUAGUCUUCACUGGGUCUUGCCUGGAAACCCUCUCGCCCUCACCAAGAUAAUCAGAUUUGAUCUUGCCACUGAUGAUCUUAGUGUCCUCAGUGGCCCACUGGAGCUUUGCCAUGAAGUUAUGAAUUUAGGUGUGUUAGACGGCUGCCUUUGUUUGAUUUGUCACGACUACCACAACAUCAGGAAUGGCCAUGUGGAUGUUUGGAUUUUGAGGGAAUACGGAGGAUCUUGGAGUAAAUUCAUUACUGUGCCGAAACCAGAGACUGUGGUGUCGUUUAAGUUUGUGAGACCUUUGAUAUAUUCCAAGGACAGGAGCAAGAUUCUCCUGGAGAUAAACAGUGGGAAGCUCAUGUGGUUUGAUUUGGUGGAUAAGAGUUUUGAAACGCUUGAAAUAAAGGGUUGUAAGGGUCCACGUAACGCGGAGAUCCUCGUGAGUAGCCUUGUUUUGGGAUGUAAAAGUGUUUCUGGCAGAGCUCCAGAGAAGAGAAUGUUGCAAAAGGGUAACAAAAGUUGGUUUGCUCAUCUUUGUAGCCUUGUUUUGGGGUGUAGAGGUGAUCCUCGAGAAAAGGAAAUAAUGGUGAAGGGUAGCAAAAGGUGGUAUGCUCAUCUUUUUAAAGUGCUUUCUUAUUCGAUUUUGCUUCCCCUGAUAAUGUACUUAGAUACGGACGGAUGAGACGAUAAGUCAAAACUGAGUAUUGGGUGUCUUCUUUCUUUGAGGUUUUAGGUUUGCAAAUGGUAAAAUGUAUCAACUUGCUUAAACAUCUUAUGUUACAAUCUCAGGGGAGGUGGUUUUCUGUCCAAGGGAUUCAAGCUCAAGUUCUGAGCAAAGCAUGGGAACUUUGAAGCCCAAACCUUCGUCAAGGUAACUGUAAUAAAUCUAAUGCUCAUGAAAUGUUUCCCUCAAGCUGGUAUUCUUCUUUCACUUUUCACUUUUCGAUGUGAGAUUCCAUUCUUAACCUGCUUACAAUUAUUGUAGCCUUUUUAUCCAUAGUGACGUUAAUCGUUGAAAUAAAUAUUAAUCGUAGUAACUGCACAUGUUUUAUUUCAGAAGCUUACAUUGACAUUUGAAAAUUAUAAAAGAAUUUGGGCCAAAUUACUGACACCGUAAAUUUUCAUCACGGCAAAGUCAUUGUCUUCUUGACUGGAGUGUUAGAAAGUGGAACUUGAGUCAACAAACAUCAUUGGAUAACGUUGACAGUUUAGAGAAAACGAGUUUGAUCCGUGUAGGUGCGUCGGGUACGUAUUCUGCUGAGCGAGUAGGGUUACCUGUAAAAUUAGCGGAUGAAGCUGAAAAACCUGCAACGUAAAUAAAUCAUAUUUACCCUUUAAUUUACCUUGUGUAUUCAUUAUAAGCUAUUUCUGAGAAGAAUUAAGGUUGAAAAAUACCGUGGAGGGAUGGAUUUGGAUUUGCAGUCAAAGUAUCAAUCUCAUGACUUGUUUUUUUCUCCGGACCUGUAGAUCAGCUUACCAUGUCGUCACAGAUGUUGCAAUAUUGUGU